CCUAUACUUUUGUUAUUUCAUGAAUGUUCUAUAAAUUGAAUCAUACUGUAUGUAACCUUUUGAGAUUGGCUUUUAAAAGCUCAG